CCUACGGGUGGCAGCAGUAGGGAAUUUUCGUCAAUGGGCGCAAGCCUGAACGAGCAAUGCCGCGUGAACGAGGAAGGUCUUCGGAUCGUAAAGUUCUGUUGAAGGGGAAAAAGAGCGGCGAGAGGAAAUGCUUUCUGAUUGAUAUUACCCUUCGCGGAAGUCACGGCUAACUACGUGCCAGCAGCCGCGGUAAUACGUAGGUGGCGAGCGUUAUCCGGAAUGAGUGGGCGUAAAGGGGGCGUAGGCGGCCUGCUAAGUCUGGAGUGAAAGGUACCGGCUGAACCGGUACAGGGUCUGGAAACUGGCGGGGUAGAGGGCAGGGGAGGGCGGUGGAAAUCCAUGGGUAGCGGGAGAAU
rnacentral:rRNA from 1 species